rnacentral:rRNA from 1 species
CGGCAAAAGCUCAAAUUUGAAAUCUGGUACCUUCGGUGCCCGAGUUGUAAUUUGGAGAGGGCAACUUUGGGGCCGUUCCUUGUCUAUGUUCCUUGGAACAGGACGUCAUAGAGGGUGAGAAUCCCGUGUGGCGAGGAGUGCGGUUCUUUGUAAAGUGCCUUCGAAGAGUCGAGUUGUUUGGGAAUGCAGCUCUAAGUGGGUGGUAAAUUCCAUCUAAAGCUAAAUAUUGGCGAGAGACCGAUAGCGAACAAGUACAGUGAUGGAAAGAUGAAAAGAACUUUGAAAAGAGAGUGAAAAAGUACGUGAAAUUGUUGAAAGGGAAGGGCAUUUGAUCAGACAUGGUGUUUUGUGCCCUCUGCUCCUUGUGGGUAGGGGAAUCUCGCAUUUCACUGGGCCAGCAUCAGUUUUGGUGGCAGGAUAAAUCCAUAGGAAUGUAGCUUGCCUCGGUAAGUAUUAUAGCCUGUGGGAAUACUGCCAGCUGGGACUGAGGACUGCGACGUAAGUCAAGGAUGCUGGCAUAAUGGUUAUAUGCCGCCC